rnacentral:antisense_RNA from 1 species
UUCAAUGGUGGCCCAGACGGGGCAGCAUUUCGAUGCUGGCUGGCUAGCAAUGACCAGUGGUGAGACACCCGUCUGGGCUACCGCCAUU